GUCACUACCACGUCGACUAGCCAGAGAACUUCUACGACUAGGACUCGAUACCAUUAUUAUUGGUAAAUUCGCUGUGGAAGGUGUAGGUGUUGGAGGCCUGACGUACACUUCCGCUGUAGCUGUAGUCUUUCCCGAAUCCUUUCGAAUCAGUUCCUGGCACUUUGAGACCCUUGUUAUGGAUUGAGCUAAAAAUAUUAACAAUUUUUUCAACCAGUCAACAAAAAUUCAUCUGAUACAAUUCACUGUACACUAUAAUGAUUGAAAUGAGUCACAUUAGCCUUUGGAAGACCAAGCAAAGUGGGUACCAAUGCAGCAGCGACUGAUGUCGCUAAAUUAUUGUAUGGGGCUAGCAUGGCAAGCUGCAUUAUGCCUAAGGGAAAAAAUUUACAAACCUUUUUGAUUCGCAUGAGAAUUGUCA